AAGUCGUAACAAGGUUUCCGUAGGUGAACCUGCGGAAGGAUCAUUACCAAAACAAUGGCCGAAAGGCCUUGCCCUAGGGAGGGAGACCUCCCGACGGUAAACCCUUUGUGAAAACCCUCCUGUUUGCCUCGGCGGCACCCUUUAAUUAGGGGUCAGCCCGCCGACGGCACCAAACAAAAACUCUUUUGAAUUGAAGAAUCAGUCUGAAUCAAUGGUCGAAUGACUAUAAAACUUUCAACAACGGAUCUCUUGGUUCCCGCAUCGAUGAAGAACGCAGCGAAACGCGAUAGUUAAUGUGAAUUGCAGAAUUCAGUGAAUCAUCGAGUCUUUGAACGCACAUUGCGCCUUUUGGUAUUCCGAGAGGCACGCCUGUCUGAGCGUCAGUAAUACCUUCGGUUUGACGAUUUAUUGUCUCGCCGGCGUUGGCGGUUUAAGGGGGUUAACCCCCCUAAUUCCGUUUAAACACUGACAGCGGGGUAAGUUUAAGUAACACCUAUCGAUUAGUAGAAAUAUUUAUCGUUCAAGGAAGAUCUAAACUCCCGCAAUACAAAAUAUGGGGAAACCCACACCAAUUUUGACCUCAGAUCAGACGAGGAUACCCGCUGAACUUAAGCAUAUCAAUAAGCGGAGGAAAAGAAACCAACAGGGAUUGCCUCAGUAGCGGCGAGUGAAGCGGCAAAAGCUCAGAUUUGAAAUCCAACGUCUUUCGGCGUUCGAGUUGUAAUCUGGAGAGGAUGCUCCGGCGAGACCGACCGCCCAAGUUCCUUGGAACAGGACGCCUUGGAGGGUGAGAGCCCCGUACCCGGCGGUCCGGUCGAGCCAUGUGGUGCUCCCUCGACGAGUCGAGUUGUUUGGGAAUGCAGCUCAAACUGGGUGGUAAAUUCCGUCUAAAGCUAAAUAUCGGCGGGAGACCGAUAGCGCACAAGUAGAGUGAUCGAAAGAUGAAAAGCACUUUGAAAAGAGAGUUAAAAAGUACGUGAAAUUGUUGAAAGGGAAGCGCUUGCCAUCAGAACCGGCGCCGGUCGAUCAACGUUCCUUCUGGUUCGUGCACUCGGCCGGCUGCCGUGCCAGCAUCGGUCGCCGCGGCGGGACAAAGACGGCGGGAAAGUGGCUCCCUUCGGGGAGUGUUAUAGCCCACCGUGCAAUGCCGCCAGCUGGCGACCGAGGACCGCGCUUCGUGCAAGGAUGCUGGCCUAAUGGUUGUAAGCGACC
rnacentral:rRNA from 1 species